rnacentral:tRNA from 1 species
GGAGACGUGACCGAGUGGCCGAAGGUGCUCGAUUGCUAAUCGAGUGUGGGAUGAGAAUUCUACCGAGGGUUCAAAUCCCUCCGUCUCCGCCA